rnacentral:rRNA from 1 species
AACGAACGCUGGCGGCAGGCCUAACACAUGCAAGUCGAGCGCCCCGCAAGGGGAGCGGCGGACGGGUGAGUAACGCGUGGGAACGUACCCUUUGCUACGGAAUAGCCUCGGGAAACUGGGAGUAAUACCGUAUGUGCCCCUCGGGGGAAAGAUUUAUCGGCAAAGGAUCGGCCCGCGUUGGAUUAGGUAGUUGGUGGGGUAAUGGCCUACCAAGCCGACGGUCCAUAGCUGGUUUGAGAGGAUGAUCAGCCACACUGGGACUGAGACACGGCCCAGACUCCUACGGGAGGCAGCAGUGGGGAAUCUUAGACAAUGGGCGCAAGCCUGAUCUAGCCAUGCCGCGUGAGCGAUGAAGGCCUUAGGGUUGUAAAGCUCUUUCAGUGGGGAAGAUAAUGACUGUACCCACAGAAGAAGCCCCGGCUAACUCCGUGCCAGCCGCCGCCGUAA